rnacentral:rRNA from 1 species
AGAACGAACGCUGGCGGCAUGCCUAACACAUGCAAGUCGAACGCUUCCGGGGCUUCGGUCGCGGAGGAGUGGCGCACGGGUGAGUAGCGCGUGGGAACCUGCCCUGUUGUGGGGGAUAACCGAGGGAAACUUCGGCUAAUACCGCAUACGCCCCGGGACUUGGUCUUCGGAUUAGGUCUGGGGGGAAAGAUUGAUCGCAGCAGGAGGGGCCCGCGUCGGAUUAGCUGGUUGGUGGGGUAACGGCUCACCAAGGCGAUGAUCCGUAGCUGGUCUGAGAGGAUGAUCAGCCACACUGGGACUGAGACACGGCCCAGACUCCUACGGGAGGCAGCAGUGGGGAAUAUUGGACAAUGGGGGCAACCCUGAUCCAGCAAUGCCGCGUGAGUGAUGAAGGCCUUAGGGUUGUAAAGCUCUUUCGCCCGCGACGAUGAUGACGGUAGCGGGAGAAGAGCCCGGCUAACUCGCGCAGCAGCCGCGGU